rnacentral:rRNA from 1 species
UACGAAGGGGGCUAGCGUUGUUCGGAUUUACUGGGCGUAAAGCGCACGUAGGCGGAUCGUUAAGUCGGGGGUGAAAUCCUGGAGCUCAACUCCAGAACUGCCUUCGAUACUGGCGAUCUAGAGUCCGGAAGAGGUGAGUGGAACUCCUAGUGUAGAGGUGGAAUUCGUAGAUAUUAGGAAGAACACCAGUGGCGAAGGCGGCUCACUGGUCCGGUACUGACGGCUGAGGUGCGAAAGCGUGGGGAGCAAACAGGAUUAGAUACCCCGAGUAAG